CUAAGAAACAUUAAAAUAGCAAAUGGGGAUGUUGAUUCCAUUAGCAUAUGAAGCCAAGGCAAAAAAACAAAAAGAAAGACAAGAAGAAAGAAAAAAACAGUGGUAAAAUGACCUUUCACAAUUCUUCCAUAGAAAGUCUGCUCCCUGCAUUUGGGCAGCAGAGACUCCAAUCCCAAGGUCGUCAUUUUAUAAACAUGCUCAGGAAAGAGCAGAAUCACAAAUCACUGAUUGUCAAGCAGAGUUAAACAAAGUGCAGGAGCCGCACUAUUUUAAACGAGGAACACAAUUGAGAGACCAUCAGACUGGACGUUUGGAGUAAAUAAAAAUCCAUUUCUGUCUCCUGGAAUUUUCAAAUAGGAAGAUGGAGGGAGGAAGGGGAGGACAACAUUUCAGAGUGAGUAUUAAUAUUAGGUGCUUUAUAGCAUUGCUACUCAAGCUGUAGCCGAUGGGCCAUCAUUUACCUUCUCUGGGAGCUUGUCUGAAAUGCAGAAUCUCAGGCUCUUUCUUUUAGACCACAGCCCUUUUUACAAGAUUCCAGAUGAUUUUUAAGCACAAGAAAAUUUGAAAAGUAAAGCUUUACAUCACUUUUGUGAUUUUAGACAUACAACACUUUUACCAGUUGUUACCCUCACUUCAGAGAGAGGAAAAUAGGAGCUCUGUAGACUGUUCAAAGUUGUCCUGCCAGCCAGCUGUAGAAAUGCAAUUCCGACCUAAAUCAUUCAAAUUCCUCUAAAGUCAAACAUAAAAAUAUCAGCAAAUUCAAAUGAACAACAAACUAUUCCUGAAGUUGUGUUUCAUUUGUUCUAACUUGCUUUCCUUGUUUGCAUGGAGUAUGUAACAGUUGUGUAAUAAAGGGUUGCUGGACUAGUAAUUUAUUUGUGGAGUGCCUGCUCUGUGUGAGACAUUGUGUGUGAAAACAAGUAGUACGAGACAAAAUCUCAUACUUUCCUGGAACAUUUGUCUGGGAAGACAUGAUACAGGCUUUUACAAAAAAAAUAUCAAGAGUGGACAGUUCUUUGUGUUGAGUACAACAGACAAGAAGUGCUUCCCAACGGCAUCGGAGUGUCCAUUGCAAUUCACAUCAAUCAACGUAGCCUAAAGAGCAAACAAGUGAUGUAAGUGUUCAACAAAUAUUAGCAAUUGAUAUAAUUGUCAUUGUUAACUUUCCCAGAGGUGGGAACACCAUAUUUAUUCUGGAGACAAUGGGAGGGGUGGUCUCGCUGGUGGACAGGGUGAAUGUGAGGAGAGAAGUUUUGAAUAAACUUUAAAGGCUUCGUUGUGAAAAGUCAGGCAGUUCGAUGAGUUGAGACAGUAUUCGGUAGGCAAUGGUGAGAGGGUGACUAUCAUAAUGAAAGAGGAGCCUUCAUAUGCAUCUUAAUAUAUUAGUCAUUACUGGAAAAUUGGAUCAUUCCUAAGAUUUUGGGCAGUCUUACGAAAAAUAGCUCUUAUGAAAAAAAAAUUGUCACUGGAUAAGUGCCCCGGACAAAAUUCUGAUAGGGUAAAACUAGGCAUUGAACCUACUCUGGAAGAAAUGAAAUCUCUCUCCCUGGUUUCUAAUGGGUGUUCACAUAACUUUCAGUAAGAAGAUGUUUCUCGGUGAAACCCCGUCUCUACUAAAAAUACAAAAAAUUUCUGAGAGUUAAGAAAAUGCAAGUCCCUUUUGUAGCUUGUCAGAAUAAUAGCUACUUAACCAAUUACUGCUCUUUUACCCUGACCAUGAUCUGUCUUGCUGAACAUUCUAAAACAUAUAAAACCUUGAGGUGAUGGCAGCAGAAUGAUUUGAUAAUGGGUCUUGUAUAGAAUCAAAAUGUUCUGGAGUGGUAGAUUAAAGAAGGAUAUGGAUACCGUGUUUUUCUCUUCUCUAUGAGGUAGAGUCUAGUUUCUCUUACCUUGAGUCUGAGAUGACCUGAGUGAUUUGUCCAUAAAUUGACCUAGUAGCAACUGAUACUCUGAUAAGAACUGUUGCAGCUUCCAGUAUGGCCUUUUAGAACUCUCUGAGAGCCCUGAGAUGUCAAGUAAGAAGUUUAUCUGAUACUUCUUGUUGGAGAAGCCAAAUGGAGGUACUCUGAUUGGCAGUCACAGCUGAGUCUACUAGACAAGCCUUCCAAUCAUUCCCUGCAUCCAAGGUACCAGACAUGUAAAUGAAGAAAUACACCUCUUCUCAGACAUCCUUCACAUCAUCGCAAGCAUCCCUCUUUCAUUGACAAAACGGCAUUUACUCUGAAAAACAGAAAUGGAGUCAGUCUUUGAAAAUGUUUUCUACCUUAUGAUACUAAGCCUGAAAGCAAAGUGCGCCAUGGCUUCCAAGAUAUUCAAGCCCUCUUUUGUCUUGCCAAAGACUGCACUCUUGCCACC
rnacentral:lncRNA from 1 species